AUGAAAGUAAAGAACACAUGGGAUACUGCCCGAAGAAGUCUUUUAUGGACUAAAGCAAUCAAAUGUUGUUUUGGGUUAAAGAAGAUGAGAGGACAAUUGUGUUUGUAUAAAGUUAUAGAAUGGGAAUUUCAUUUCCUAAAUCCUGUACAUGCGGAUAACAUUCUACUUGUUAAUAGUGAUGUUAAUUUGACUGCAGGAGGAAAAGAAGUUCUUGUCCUCAAAGUUCAAAAGAAUGUUCUGGGUAGAAUGUCUCUCGUUAUAAGGAUCGAGAUUCACCGAGAAAAGAAUAAAAGGGGUAUUAGGAGUGUCGCAUGGUCAUGCUAA
rnacentral:rRNA from 1 species